GACAGCCAGGAUGUUGGCUUAGAAGCAGCCAUCAUUUAAAGAAAGCGUAAUAGCUCACUGGUCGAGUCGGCCUGCGCGGAAGAUGUAACGGGGCUAAACCAUGCACCGAAGCUGCGGCAGCGACGCUUAUGCGUUGUUGGGUAGGGGAGCGUUCUGUAAGCCUGUGAAGGUGUACUGUGAGGUAUGCUGGAGGUAUCAGAAGUGCGAAUGCUGACAUAAGUAACGAUAAAGCGGGUGAAAAGCCCGCUCGCCGGA
rnacentral:rRNA from 1 species